rnacentral:rRNA from 1 species
AUACCGUGAGAGACUAGGAGUGGGGGGUCAGUUCACGAGUUUUCGUGCCGUAGAUAACGCAAUUAAGUGUACCGCCUGGGGAGUACGGCCGCACGGCUAAGACUCAAAGGAAAUGACGGGGGGCCGCACAAGCGGCGGAGCAUGUGGAUUAAUUUGAUGCAACGCGAAGAACCUUACCUGGGUUUGACAUACACCAGAUGCGGCUAGAGAUAGUCGUUCCCUUGUGGUUGGUGUACAGGUGGUGCAUGGCUGUCGUCAGCUCGUGUCGUGAGAUGUUGGGUUAAGUCCCGCAACGAGCGCAACCCUUGUCCUGUAUUGCCAGCGGGUUAUGCCGGGGACUUGCAGGAGACUGCCGGGGUCAACUCGGAGGAAGGUGGGGAUGACGUCAAGUCAUCAUGCCCCUUAUGUCCAGGGCUUCACACAUGCUACAAUGGCCGGUACAGAGGGCUGCGAUACCGUGAGGUGGAGCGAAUCCCUUAAAGCCGGUCUCAGUUCGGAUCGGGGUCUGCAACUCGACCCCGUGAAGUCGGAGUCGCUAGUAAUCGCAGAUCAGCAACGCUGCGGUGAAUACGUUCCCGGGCCUUGUACACACCGCCCGUCACGUCAUGAAAGUCGGUAACACCCGAAGCCGGUGGCCUAACCCCUUGUGGGAGGGAGCCGUCGAAGUGAUGGGAGUUUCUG